ACUUUCUGUGUUUCUUUAACACCAACAGUGAGAAGGAUCACAGGUGGAUGCCUCUGUUUUGGGCUCAUCAGUGUUGAGUGCCUGCCUGGCAGCCUCUGGCUGCUUCUGUCCACAUCAACAUUCUGUGGGGUGCUGGAGUUGGCAACACAUGCCAUGCUCUCUGCUUCUCUGGGAGGGAGACCCCAGGAGCUGCACUCCCAGGUAAGGUGAUGGGCAGAGUAAAAGCAUGCUUGAUUAGGCAAGGGGUAUUCUGGGGGUCCCGGGAAAGACCAUCACACCUCUGCUUCUGACUUGACAGAAGUUUCCAGAGAAGCCAUGUGACUCGGGGGAGAGGUGAGAUUCAGGGCCCAGGGUGGCACCAGGUCAGCCAAGUUGCUGCCUGGGCUGAGUUUGCACACAAACCUUCCCUUUAUGGGAUGCAGAGUUCUUGUCUGUGCAGUGAGUUCUGAUGGUAACCACAGGAAGGAACCUGCAAAACACCUGGGCAAGAAUGCACAUUGGACAAGAACUAGAUCCUAGCCCCGUGCCUCAGGAUGUGGAGCACUAACAGCCCAGUAGUUGUGUUACCUUUGAAAAGCAUUGAAAUCAUCCAGCAUGUUCUGUCCUACUAAAUUAAGGAAGCUUGGUCUCAAAGAGAUAAUGCAUAAUAGCUCUCAUGGCAAAUGGAGCUAGGAGUUAGACCCUGAGCUAUGAGGCCCGUGGCCUUUCAAAACAGGGAACCUCAACUAGGACUUGGCAUUUUGUCUUGCAACAUUCUUUUGUUGUUUUCCCUGACAUCAAGAUUUUCUAGUGAUUGAUCAAGUCUUUGUGGGAUGCAAAUUUGAGACACUGCUUCCUAUUAAAGGAGAUUAUUCAGGUAAAUUAUACUACUAGUCAUUGGAGGAUUCAAAAACCCACAAAUGCAAUAUAUGCACAUGUGACCAGCUUUCAGUACAGUGAGCUGGCUCCCAGCUGCAAACCAUCAGAACCUUGUGUGCAAACCCUAUGAAGAUGCUGCUCCGGAUUCUGGACAAUGUUUCUGUCC
rnacentral:lncRNA from 1 species